rnacentral:rRNA from 1 species
GUGGGGAAUAUUGGACAAUGGGGGCAACCCUGAUCCAGCCAUGCCGCGUGUGUGAAGAAGGCCUUCGGGUUGUAAAGCACUUUCAGCGGGGAGGAAGGCAUCAUGGCUAAUAUCCAUGGUGAUUGACGUUACCCGCAGAAGAAGCACCGGCUAACUCCGUGCCAGCAGCCGCGGUAAUACGGAGGGUGCAAGCGUUUAUCGGAAUUACUGGGCGUAAAGCGCGCGUAGGCGGCUUGUUAAGUCGGAUGUGAAAUCCCCGGGCUCAACCUGGGAAUUGCAUCCGAUACUGACGAGCUAGAGUGCGAUAGAGGGGGGUAGAAUUCCUAGUGUAGCGGUGAAAUGCGUAGAUAUUAGGAGGAAUACCGGUGGCGAAGGCGGCCCCCUGGAUCGACACUGACGCUGAGGUGCGAAAGCGUGGGUAGCAAACAGGAUUAGAAACCCCAGUAGUCC